rnacentral:rRNA from 1 species
CUCGGCGGCAGUAGCGCGGUGGUCCCACCUGACCCCAUGCCGAACUCAGAAGUGAAACGCCGUAGCGCCGAUGGUAGUGUGGGGUCUCCCCAUGCGAGAGUAGGGAACUGCCAGGC